UGAUGUUAGCGGCGGACGGGUGAGUAACACGUGGGUAACCUGCCUGUAAGACUGGGAUAACUCCGGGAAACCGGGGCUAAUACCGGAUGGUUGUCUGAACCGCAUGGUUCAGACAUAAAAGGUGGCUUCGGCUACCACUUACAGAUGGACCCGCGGCGCAUUAGCUAGUUGGUGAGGUAACGGCUCACCAAGGCGACGAUGCGUAGCCGACCUGAGAGGGUGAUCGGCCACACUGGGACUGAGACACGGCCCAGACUCCUACGGGAGGCAGCAGUAGGGAAUCUUCCGCAAUGGACGAAAGUCUGACGGAGCAACGCCGCGUGAGUGAUGAAGGUUUUCGGAUCGUAAAGCUCUGUUGUUAGGGAAGAACAAGUGCCGUUCAAAUAGGGCGGCACCUUGACGGUACCUAACCAGAAAGCCACGGCUAACUACGUGCCAGCAGCCGCGGUAAUACGUAGGUGGCAAGCGUUGUCCGGAAUUAUUGGGCGUAAAGGGCUCGCAGGCGGUUUCUUAAGUCUGAUGUGAAAGCCCCCGGCUCAACCGGGGAGGGUCAUUGGAAACUGGGGAACUUGAGUGCAGAAGAGGAGAGUGGAAUUCCACGUGUAGCGGUGAAAUGCGUAGAGAUGUGGAGGAACACCAGUGGCGAAGGCGACUCUCUGGUCUGUAACUGACGCUGAGGAGCGAAAGCGUGGGGAGCGAACAGGAUUAGAUACCCUGGUAGUCCACGCCGUAAACGAUGAGUGCUAAGUGUUAGGGGGUUUCCGCCCCUUAGUGCUGCAGCUAACGCAU
rnacentral:rRNA from 1 species